UACAGAGGUGGCAAGCGUUGUUCGGAAUUACUGGGCGUAAAGGGCGCGUAGGCGGUCUUGUAAGUCUCGUGUGAAAUCCCUCGGCUUAACUGAGGAACUGCACGGGAUACUGCUUGACUUGAGUUCGGGAGAGGGAAGCGGAAUUCCGGGUGUAGCGGUGAAAUGCGUAGAUAUCCGGAGGAACACCAGUGGCGAAGGCGGCCUUCUGGGCCUGUCCUGACGCUGAGGCGCGAAAGCGUGGGGAGCGAACCGG
rnacentral:rRNA from 1 species